rnacentral:rRNA from 1 species
ACAUGCAGUCGAACGAUGAUCCGGUGCUUGCACCGGGGAUUAGUGGCGAACGGGUGAGUAACACGUGAGUAACCUGCCCUUGACUCUGGGAUAAGCCUGGGAAACUGGGUCUAAUACCGGAUAUGACUCCUCAUCGCAUGGUGGGGGGUGGAAAGCUUUUGUGGUUUUGGAUGGACUCGCGGCCUAUCAGCUUGUUGGUGAGGUAAUGGCUCACCAAGGCGACGACGGGUAGCCGGCCUGAGAGGGUGACCGGCCACACUGGGACUGAGACACGGCCCAGACUCCUACGGGAGGCAGCAGUGGGGAAUAUUGCACAAUGGGCGCAAGCCUGAUGCAGCGACGCCGCGUGAGGGAUGACGGCCUUCGGGUUGUAAACCUCUUUCAGUAGGGAAGAAGCGAAAGUGACGGUACCUGCAGAAGAAGCGCCGGCUAACUACGUGCCAGCAGCCGCGGUAAUACGUAGGGCGCAAGCGUUAUCCGGAAUUAUUGGGCGUAAAGAGCUCGUAGGCGGUUUGUCGCGUCUGCCGUGAAAGUCCGGGGCUCAACUCCGGAUCUGCGGUGGGUACGGGCAGGCUAGAGUGAUGUAGGGGAGACUGGAAUUCCUGGUGUAGCGGUGAAAUGCGCAGAUAUCAGGAGGAACACCGAUGGCGAAGGCAGGUCUCUGGGCAUUAACUGACGCUGAGGAGCGAAAGCAUGGGGAGCGAACAGGAUUAGAUACCCUGGUAGUCCAUGCCGUAAACGUUGGGCACUAGGUGUGGGGGACAUUCCACGUUUUCCGCGCCGUAGCUAACGCAUUAAGU